UACGAAGGGGGCUAGCGUUGUUCGGAAUUACUGGGCGUAAAGCGCACGUAGGCGGAUAUUUAAGUCAGGGGUGAAAUCCCAGAGCUCAACUCUGGAACUGCCUUUGAUACUGGGUAUCUCGAGUAUGGAAGAGGUGAGUGGAAUUCCGAGUGUAGAGGUGAAAUUCGUAGAUAUUCGGAGGAACACCAGUGCGAAGGCGGCUCACUGGUCCAUUACUGACGCUGAGGUGACGAAAGCGUGGGGAGCAAACGGG
rnacentral:rRNA from 1 species